rnacentral:rRNA from 1 species
UACGAAGGGUGCAAGCGUUAAUCGGAAUUACUGGGCGUAAAGCGUGCGUAGGUGGUUUGUUAAGUCUGCUGUGAAAUCCCUCGGCUCAACCAAGGAAGUGCAUCCGAAACUGCAGAGCUUGAGUACCAAAGAGGAUCGCGGAAUUCCCGGUGUAGUGGUGAAAUGCGUAGAUAUCGGGAGGAACACCAGUGGCGAAGGCGACUACCUGGCCUGUUCUUGACGCUGAGGCGCGAAAGCUAGGGGAGCAAACGGG